CUCCGGCAGCGGCUGUCGGAGAAUCCAUGCAGCGAGCCCAGAAUCAUCGACCCCUUCCGGAGGCGUUCAUCGGCGAUCCGGAAACUACGGUCCAAACAUCUGGGAGUCCCAUCAGUAUUCCGGGGCAAGUCACGGUGACUCCAACUCUGUCAGUACAAUAAUUACGUUUCGGACAGUAAUUAAUUAGCGACGUUUAUUUCAUUACUGUACGUGCAAAUCUUAUGUUGCAUAUAGAUUGCUCGAAUAUGAUGUAGCUUAAUCAGAUACGUACGUGUAGAUACAACAAGAGAGAGCAGAAGAGCUGAAGAAGUACGUGAAACACAACUUGCUGAAUAUUAUUGGUAAUGGAGAUCGAGGAGAGGAAGAAGAUGUUGCAAAAUGGGUUGAGACCAUUGACAAAGUGCAAAGGUUGGGCAUCGGCUACCAUUUCGAGGACGAGAUUCAGAGUGCUCUGGUGAAGUUGAGCUCUAUGAAGCCGCCAAAGGGAAACCUACAUGCUUGUGCCCUGUGGUUUAGGCUGCUCCGACAAGCUGGAAUCUGGACAUCUCCAGGUAUGUUUGUGAAUUGUGACCGAAUCCCUACCUGCAAACUACAUUUAUUCUUAAUAAUCUUACUAAUAAUAAAGUAGUACAUAAGUUUUUAUACACAAGAACAAUGAUACGUAUGGUACGUUGAUUGCAUAUAUACCUGACCUUAUCCUAUUAUCGUACCCUUUUACUGGACUAGACGGUUCCAGCUAGAGAUAUGUAUGUUGUGGCUUAGAAUAUGCUGUAUAUGCAUGUCUUGGAUAAUAUCCAAUCUUCCACCAGCUAGUGGUGAUCUUAGUGAGGCUUCAUUUAUCUGGCCGUACCUUUUUUUUUGUCAACGUGUAUAUUAAUAGAUAUCUUGUUUUUUAAAUAUAUGUGUGUGGUUGAAAAAUAAUUAGGGCCCGUUUUAGUUAUAAACAAAAAUAAUUAUGGUCCGUUUGUGUCGGAGAAUUUAUAGGAGGAAAAUUGGAAUAGUUAGAGAAUUUAAGCAGGGGCGAAGUUAGGAUUUUGGUUAAAGAGUGCCUUUUGUUGUAUACAAAAAAUCAACUAUAUAAUAAAAAAGUCAAUAAUUCAUGUGAUAUAAAGUUAAUAUCAUAAAUAUUCAUACAAUUACAAAAUUGUAGUUUAAAGUAUAUAGUCUACAAUAAAUCACGACGCGAUUUCAUAUUUUGAAAGCAUUGCAGAACACAUUCCUUGUCUAAACGAGUCCAUUCGUCGGAAAGAGAAUCGAUUAUUCACUUGCUGUGCAGGAGUAGUAGUUUUUUCGAGCCUUGAAUAAUAUACCGUCGUCUAAUUUUACAUAUCAAAAUCAACUUUAGAAUAUGACGAAUUGACN
rnacentral:lncRNA from 1 species